CUCGUAGAGGGGGGUAGAAUUCCAGGUGUAGCGGUGAAAUGCGUAGAGAUCUGGAGGAAUACCGGUAGCGAAGGCGGCCCCCUGGACGAAGACUGACGCUCAGGUGCGAAAGCGUGGGCAGCAAACAGGAUUAGAUACCCUGGUAGUCCACGCCGUAAACGAUAUCGACUUGGAGGUUGUGCCAUUGAGGCGUGGCUUCCGUCGCUAACGCGUUAAGUCGUCCGCCUGGGGAGUACGGCCGCAAGGUUAAAACUCAAAUGAAUUUACUGGGGCGCGCACAAGCGGUGGCGCAUGUGGUUUAAUUCGAUGCCACGCGGCGCACAGUGCCUGGUCUUGACAUCCACGCAAGUUUUCAGAGAGUAGAAUGUGCCUUCGGGAA
rnacentral:rRNA from 1 species